rnacentral:rRNA from 1 species
UGAGUGCUAGGUGUUAGACCCUUUCCGGGGUUUAGUGCCGCAGCUAACGCGUUAAGUUCGCCGCCUGGGGAGUACGGUCGCAAGACUGAAACUCAAAGGAAUUGACGGGGGCCCGCACAAGCGGUGGAGCAUGUGGUUUAAUUCGAAGCAACGCGAAGAACCUUACCAGGUCUUGACAUCCCUCUGACCGCUCUAGAGAUAGAGCUUUCCUUCGGGACAGAGGUGACAGGUGGUGCAUGGCUGUCGUCAG